AGAGUUUGAUUAUGGCUCAGGAUGAACGCUGGCGGCGUGCCUAAUGCAUGCAAGUCGAGCGACGCAUGCCGGAGGGGUAACCCACUGGUAUGACGGAGCGGCGAACGGGUGAGUAACACUUGAGCAACCUGCCCCACAGAUCGGGAUAGCCCAGGGAAACCUGGAUUAAUACCGAAUAUCCUCGGAGGACCGCAUGGUCCGCUGAGGAAAUGCCUUUGUGCUGUGGGAUGGGCUCGAGGCUUAUCAGCUAGUUGGUGGGGUAACGGCCUACCAAGGCGUCGACGAGUAGCUGGUCUGAGAGGACGAUCAGCCACACUGGGACUGAGACACGGCCCAGACUCCUACGGGAGGCAGCAGCAGGGAAUCUUGCGCAAUGGGCGAAAGCCUGACGCAGCAACGCCGCGUGGGGGAUGAAGGCCUUCGGGUUGUAAACCCCUUUCAGGAGGGAAGAAAUUGACGGUACCUCCAAAAGAAGCACCGGCCAACUACGUGCCAGCAGCCGCGGUAAUACGUAGGGUGCGAGCGUUAUCCGGAAUCAUUGGGCGUAAAGAGCUCGUAGGCGGUUCAGCAAGUCGGCUGUGAAAUUCCGAGGCUCAACCUCGGAACUGCAGUGGAUACUGCUGUGACUCGAGUCCGGUAGAGGAGAAUGGAAUUCCCGGUGUAGCGGUGAAAUGCGCAGAUAUCGGGAGGAACACCAGUAGCGAAGGCGGUUCUCUGGGCCGGCACUGACGCUGAGGAGCGAAAGCGUGGGUAGCAAACAGGAUUAGAUACCCUGGUAGUCCACGCCGUAAACGUUGGAUACUAGGUGUGGGGUUCCGACCAACGGUCCCCGUGCCGAAGCUAACGCAUUAAGUAUCCCGCCUGGGGAGUAC
rnacentral:rRNA from 1 species